AGAGUUUUGAAUUCUGGCUCAGGACGAACGCUGGCGGCGUGCUUAACACAUGCAAGUCGAACGAUGAAGCCCAGCUUGCUGGGUGGAUUAGUGGCGAACGGGUGAGUAACACGUGGGUGAUCUGCCCUGCACUUCGGGAUAAGCCUGGGAAACUGGGUCUAAUACCGGAUAUGACCAAAGGCUGCAUGGUUUUUGGUGGAAAGUUUUUCGGUGCAGGAUGAGCCCGCGGCCUAUCAGCUUGUUGGUGGGGUAAUGGCCUACCAAGGCGACGACGGGUAGCCGGCCUGAGAGGGCGACCGGCCACACUGGGACUGAGACACGGCCCAGACUCCUACGGGAGGCAGCAGUGGGGAAUAUUGCACAAUGGGCGAAAGCCUGAUGCAGCGACGCCGCGUGAGGGAUGACGGCCUUCGGGUUGUAAACCUCUUUCACCAGGGACGAAGCGUAAGUGACGGUACCUGGAGAAGAAGCACCGGCCAACUACGUGCCAGCAGCCGCGGUAAUACGUAGGGUGCGAGCGUUGUCCGGAAUUACUGGGCGUAAAGAGCUCGUAGGCGGUUUGUCGCGUCGUCUGUGAAAUCCCGCAGCUCAACUGCGGGCUUGCAGGCGAUACGGGCAAACUCGAGUACUGCAGGGGAGACUGGAAUUCCUGGUGUAGCGGUGAAAUGCGCAGAUAUCAGGAGGAACACCGGUGGCGAAGGCGGGUCUCUGGGCAGUAACUGACGCUGAGGAGCGAAAGCGUGGGUAGCGAACAGGAUUAGAUACCCUGGUAGUCCACGCCGUAAACGGUGGGCGCUAGGUGUGGGUUUCCUUCCACGGGAUCCGUGCCGUAGCUAACGCAUUAAGCGCCCCCGCCA
rnacentral:rRNA from 1 species